UCGCGCUAUUGGAGCGGCCGAUGUCGGAUUAGCUUGUUGGUGAGGUAAAAGCUCACCAAGGCGACGAUCCGUAGCUGGUCUGAGAGGACGACCAGCCACACUGGGACUGAGACACGGCCCAGACUCCUACGGGAGGCAGCAGUGGGGAAUUUUGGACAAUGGGCGAAAGCCUGAUCCAGCCAUGCCGCGUGUGUGAAGAAGGCCUUCGGGUUGUAAAGCACUUUUGUUCGGAACGAAACGCCAAGGUCGAAUAAACCUUGGUAAUGACGGUACCGGAAGAAUAAGCACCGGCUAACUACGUGCCAGCAGCCGCGGUAAUACGUAGGGUGCAAGCGUUAAUCGGAAUUACUGGGCGUAAAGCGUGCGCAGGCGGUUCCGCAAGUCAGAUGUGAAAUCCCCC
rnacentral:rRNA from 1 species